UGCUUUUAGGCAACAAUGGCCUGCAGAGCAAGGCAAAAGGGCCCACAGCCGCCCCUGAGCUGAAGACAGGCAGGCCCAGCAGGCGACCCACCUCAAAAUACCCAGAAGCCCUAGCUGACCAACGGGCUACUGACAACCAGACACAGUUCAAAGUCUGAAAGUGCAAAGUCUGAAGUCGAGGUGUCAGCAGAACUUUGUCCCCUCCAGAGGCUCGAGGGGAGGAUCCUUCCUGGCCUCUUCCAGCUUCUCAGGACCCCAGGCUGCCUUGGCUUGUGGCCCCCAUCCUGCCAGUCUCUGCCUUGGUCUUCGCAUGGCCUUCUCCGUGCGCCUCUGGGUCUUCUUUUCUCUUUCAAAUCUCCCUCUGUUUCUCUUUUAUUUGUGUGUGUGUGCGUGUGUGUGUGUGUGUGUGUGUGUGUGUUUUGUUUCUCUUUUAUAAGGACACCUAAGAUUGCAUUUAGAACCCACCUGGACCAUCCAGGAUAAACUCUCCAUCUCAAGUUCCUCCAUUUAAUCACAUCAUUUGCCGUGUAAGACAAGAGUCACAAGUCCUAGGGAUCAGGAAGUGAAUGAAUCUUUGGAGGGGGCAGUGUUUUCUGCCUACCACAACAGAGAUGAUAGAAGCUGAGGCUCCAUGCAGAAGUGACUUGUCCAAGAAAAAAUCAAAGGAAGAAGGAAACAAACAAACAAACGACAACAACAAAAGAAAUGGGUCCUCCAAGGCCAUUCACAUCAACAGUAUUGAUGCUAUCAUGUAAUAGAAACAGGACCCUUGGAUGCACCAUGGGGGCAGGCUCUGCAUGAAUUGACUUGUAUAUCUUUCCUCAAAGCUCUAGGUAGGAAGGUUGACUAGCAUCCCCAUUUUGCAGAUGGAAAGAUUGAGGACAUCAAGGUAGAGGGUGGGAUGGGGAGCAUAAGGAACUUGCAAGGUCACACCACCAGUAAGUGGCAAAGCCCAGAUUUGAACUGACACUGAGUGGGGCUCAGAUCUGUGUUCUUGGCUAGGACUGGUCUAUGUGGUAGGGUCGGCAAUUUGGUAGGGAGCAAGUGUAUGAUGCCCCUACCCUCACAGAGCUCAAGUCCCGUGGGGCCCACAGGUGACACAAAAGAAAAUUGGCAGAAAUAAUAAUUAAGAGCUAAGACAGAUGGAAAAAGGGUACAGGGCUGGAGAAUGCAGGGAUUGGGCAUCCAUGGGGUGUCCAGGUUUAGUGGUAGCUGGACAGGCUUCUCCCGAAGAAGCAUUUGGUUAAGCUCCAAGGGAGCCCUAGAAGGCAUAUAGGGACUUAAACAUCUUUAUAAAACUCCUUAUAAUUCCCUCAAAUGAAAACCAGGUGGGAAUUGUAUAAUAAAAACCAAUAUGGGGGCACCUGGGUGGCUCAAUCGUUUAAGCAUCUGCUUUUGGCUCAGUCAUGAUUUUGGGGUCCUGGGAUCAAGCCCCAAGUGGGGGAUCCCUACUCAGUGGGAAGUCUGCUUCUCCCUCUCUAUCUGCCCCCACCCAGGCUUGUGCUCUCUCUCCCUCUCUCUCUCUCCAAUAAAUAAAAAACCCAUCCUGGCCACCUCAUACUCAUUAGGAUAACUAUAUACUUUUUUAAAAAUCAGAAAAUUGGGACGCCUGGGUGGCUCCUUGGUUAAGUGUCGGACUUUUGGUUUCAGCUCAAGUUGUGAUCUCAUGGUCAUGAGAUCGA